UCCGUAGGUGGAAGGUUAAGUCAGAGGUGAAAUCCUGCAGCUCAACUGUAGAAUUGCCUUUGAUACUGUCCUUCUUGAAUUACUGUGAAGCAGCUAGAAUAUGUAGUGUAGCGGUGAAAUGCAUAGAUAUUACAUAGAAUACCGAUUGCGAAGGCAGGUUGCUAACAGUCAAUUGACACUGAUGGACGAAAGCGUGGGUAGCGAACG
rnacentral:rRNA from 1 species